UACAGAGGUGGCAAGCGUUGUUCGGAAUUACUGGGCGUAAAGGGCGCGUAGGCGGCCUGUUAAGUCCCGUGUGAAAUCCCUCGGCUCAACCGAGGAACUGCACGGGAAACUGGCGGGCUUGAGUUCGGGAGAGGGAAGCGGAAUUCCGGGUGUAGCGGUGAAAUGCGUAGAUAUCCGGAGGAACACCGGUGGCGAAGGCGGCUUCCUGGACCGACACUGACGCUGAGGCGCGAAAGCUAGGGGAGCAAACGGG
rnacentral:rRNA from 1 species